UGAGUAACCUGCCCUUGACUCUGGGAUAAGCCUGGGAAACCGGGUCUAAUACCGGAUAUGACCCCUCACCGCAUGGCGGGGGGUGGAAAGCUUUUGCGGUUUUGGAUGGACUCGCGGCCUAUCAGCUUGUUGGUGAGGUAAUGGCUCACCAAGGCGACGACGGGUAGCCGGCCUGAGAGGGUGACCGGCCACACUGGGACUGAGACACGGCCCAGACCUCCUAUGGGAGGCAG
rnacentral:rRNA from 1 species